AUUUUAACAUCACUCAGAACGUAAUUGCUUCCUUAGAAUACCAAAAGCAACUAUAUGCAGACAUCAGUGCCACAAUACUUCGACUAAACAAGAUCUUGGCCUGUCUUACCUGGUAAACACAUUUUUCAGCACAUUGUACAGUGCAGUAACCAAGUCCUACCUUCUACUGCAGUGUGUGAGCUACAUCCUUGAGACCAGCAUCACACAAAGCACACAAAUGGAGGAGCACAACUAUCUUGCAAAGAAAUGCAGCCGCAAAAAAAAAAAAAAAUUUGGAUCUCAAUUUCACACUAGCUGUUCAAAACUUACGUCACACAAUACCCCCACUGUUUCUCUCCACUAGCAGGCACCCUACAUGUCAAAUACAUAACGGCCUAAAUCAAACUUUAGAUUAAGGAAAAGAAAUUGAAGACAAAGGAUGUCUGACCAUUUGAUUUAUUGAAUCAUUUGAGAGAACAAGGACAAAACAAAUGAGCAGGAGUCACUUUACAGUCGCCCCAUACACAGCCUAUAUUAACAUUAGGAGGCAAUCUUUUUCAAAGCCACAUGGAAGACAUAACCCACCUAAUUCUACUGUCCUCGGUCCUCAAUUUCGUGGGAAAGAUUUCCUAUCAGAUUCUGAAAAAUCCACAAAUUUAAGUGCGAAUGGGUCUUUUUCAUAAUGCAUAUAACUGGGUGGUUUAUAGUAUUGGGGUGGCUCUUUGGGAGGCUGGUUGGCAGAAGGUUUGCAUUCAGCUGCUGCAGUUGUAGUACAGGGUUGAGGAGUGGUGGUUAUAGGUGGUGCGGUAGGGGUUUUCUGAGGUUGCACUGGGUAUUGUGGAUAAAAUUGCUGCAAAUAAUCUGGGAAAUUUGGGUAAUGGCUAUGCUGAGGGAAUAGACUUCCAGGGUACACUGGGGGUUGCGGUUUCUGGUUUAUUGCUGGCGAAUCUGGUGGGAGAGGAGUGGGGAUGGCUGGAGCUGGUUUCACAGUAGUAUUUGGUUUGCCAUGAUAGUCACUGUAGUAAUAUGGCCACAUAUGGGGUUGCCUUGGAAACUGAGGUUUCUGGAUUGGCACUUGGCCAUCUGAUGGAGAUUGCCCUGCUGGCUUAGCUGUGGGAUAUGGCCACAUCAUAGGGGGGUGCUUCGGAAAUUGAGGUUUCUGGGUUGGCACUUGGCCAUCUGAUGGAGAUAGCCCUGCUGGCUUAGCUGUGGGAUAUGGCCACAUCAUAUGGGGGUACUUAGGAAACUGAGGUUUCUGGAUUGGCACUUGGGCAUCUGAUGGAGAUUGACCUGCUGGCUUAGCUGUGGGAUAACCCUUGCCAGGAUAACGGGAGUAGGGAUAUGGCCACAUCAUAUGGGGGUACUUCGGAAACUGAGGUUUCUGGAUUGGCACUUGGCCAUCUGAUGGAGAUUGCCCUGCUGGCUUAGCGGUGGGAUAUGGCCACAUCAUAUGGGGGUGCUUUGGAAAUUGAGGUUUCUGGGUUGGCACUUGACCAUCUGAUGGAGAUUGCCCUGCUGGCUCAGCUGUGGGAUAACCCUUGCCAGGAUAACGGGAGUAGGGAUAUGGCCACAUCAUAUGGGGGUACUUCGGAAACUGAGGCUUCUGGGUUGGCACUUGGCCAUCUGCUGGAGAUUGCCCUGCUGGCUUAUCUGUGGGAUAACCCUUGCCAGGAUAAUGGGAAUAUGGAUAUGGCCACAUCAUCUGGGGGUGCUUUGGAAACUGAGGUUUCUGGGUUGGCACUUGGCCAUCUGCUGGAGAUUGCCCUGCUGGCUUAGCUGUGGGAUAACCCUUGCCAGGAUAAUGGGAGUAGGGAUAUGGCCACAUCAUAGGGGGGUGCUUUGGAAACUGAGGUUUCUGGGUUGGCACUUGGGCAUCUGAUGGAGAUUGCCCUGCUGGCUCAGCUGUGGGAUAACCCUUGCCAGAAUAUUGGUAACGAGGGUAGUUGUAAGGCCAAAACCCUUGCUGAAACUCUUCAGGGUAGCCGUAAAAUGGCGGUUUGAGAGCUGCAGAUAGUUCUGGCAUUGUACUUAUUUGUAGAUUAAAUUCAUCAGGAUAAAGGGGAGGCAGCAGAAUCUGCUGAUAUGAAGGAUCAUGAGGUCCUAGAAAAGUGUCGUUUGCAGUUGUAGAGGUCAUAGGACAAGAAAUGACUGCACGGUUUCCCUGCCAUUGCAUCUGCAUCACAUAACUCCCUCCCUGAAAGACAUGAACAUUCAGGUUGGUCUUCCUAACUCUGUGUACAUACUAAAUGGAACAGAGAAAGUAAUACCUGUUGUGCAACGCCACAUCCAUCAUAGGGGGUAGCAUAGAUAAGACCACCAUAAGUGGGUAUGGUAGAUCCACAGUUAGGCGGCAACUCACUGAGGGGAACAGCUGCCCCAUUACCUGUGACAAAAAACAUCCCACAUU
ensembl:lncRNA